rnacentral:rRNA from 1 species
GUAGGGUGCAAGCGUUAAUCGGAAUGACUGGGCGUAAAGGGUGCGCAGGCGGUCUGCUAAGACAGAGGUGAAAUCCCCGGGCUUAACCUGGGAAUGGCCUAUGUGACUGGCAGGCUGGAGGAUGGCAGAGGGAGGCGGAAUGCCACGUGUAGCAGUGAAAUGCGUAGAGAUGUGGCGGAACACCGAUGGCGAAGGCAGCCUCCUGGGCCAAUCCUGACGCUCAGGCACGAAAGCGUGGGGAGCAAACAGGAUUAGAUACCCUGGUAGUCCACGCCCUAAACGAUGUCAACUAGUUGUUGGGGAUCGCUUUCCUUAGUAACGUAGCUAACGCGUGAAGUUGACCGCCUGGGGAGUACGGUCGCAAGAUUA